AGCAAAAUGAAUUUACCAACCCUACUUAUUUAAAUUUAUGUACUUGAAAUUUGAAGAAUUUGGCGGUGAUUUAGCCUUGUCAGAGGAACCUGUUUUUGAAUGGAUCCCCCACGAACAAUCUUACUUAAGCUUGUUGUAUUAUGUAUACCAUCAUUAUUAGGUAAUUUUUAUAGAAUAAAUUACUGUAUAUUUGUUUAAAAAGGUUAAAAUAUAUAAUACAAGGGGCCCAAAUACGAAUGUUCAAGAGGGGUUGACUAAAAAAUAUUUUUCUCCGACAAUACCAAUUAACCCCCUUAUUUAAAAGGGGGAUUUGAUUGAAAAGUAAAUUAAAAAAGCUGAGUUAGAUAAAAGCUCUAAAUCAUGCACACCCCGCCCCCCCACCCAAAAAA
rnacentral:rRNA from 1 species